GUUAAUUUAGUUUAUUGAAAACAUUAGAUUGUGAUUCUAAAAUAAAGUGUUAUACUUAGUUGACA
rnacentral:tRNA from 1 species